GACGUAGGGCGCGAGCGUUGUCCGGAUUUAUUGGGCGUAAAGAGCUCGUAGGCGGCUUGUCACGUCGUCUGUGAAAUCCCGCGGCUCAACUGCGGGCUGGCAGUCGAUACGGGCAGGCUGGAGUUCGGUAGGGGAGACUGGAAUUCCUGGUGUAGCGGUGAAAUGCGCAGAUAUCAGGAGGAACACCGGUGGCGAAGGCGGGUCUCUGGGACGGUACUGACGCUGAGACGCGAAAGCGUGGGGAGCGAACAGG
rnacentral:rRNA from 1 species